CACCUCUGUCUGUCUUCUGUCUCGGAAUCUACUUGUUACGGGAGACAGAAUUGGGAAGUGGACAGACUUCGUUUUCUCCGCUACCGCCCUUUCCCUUCAAGCUGGAGCUGGAGCACACACAGCUUCUCCUUUCUGCACCUUUUUACGUCCCUAGUGGUGUAGAGCAGAUUCCGGCUCAGGCUGGGCAAAACAACGCAUCCUAGAGCUCCUUCCAACCCUAAGAUUCUCAGAUUCAAUGGGAAAAUGAGGACAAGGAUCUGCAUUUACAGAGCGUUGGCUUUCUACACGUGAUCUUAUUUGAUCCUCUGGACACCCCAUAUGAGGGUGACGCGAUAUCAGAAAUAUUAGUGUCAUCAUCUCACAGAUGAAGAAAUUGUGACUCGAAAAGCUCCACCUCUCAAUGUGGGGAGGAAAAGAGAGCCCCUUUUCAAGAGAAGCUCACGUUUUGCUUGUGGGCAGUCUGGCCCUUCACUGCCUACACCCUCUCUAAGUCUUGGAAAUAAUCAAAAGAAGAGGAAACUGGAGCCCAGAGAAGAAAAUUGACUUGCCCAAGGUCACAUAGCAAGCUGUCGAAUGGGGAAAAAUCAAGAUUGAGUCCACUCCACUCCAGAUGGUAUCUCUGUAUCAGCAUCUCUGACCAUAGCACAGAUGACAUCAGUGCCGCUUAAUGAGAGGUAGCCGGGAUUAUAUUGGAGAGCAUCCCACGGAGCACAUUUGGAGCUGAAACUGCAAUUGUCAUCCAGUGGAGGUCUGCAAAGCUCUCAUGGCAAUUUAUGGGGAUACCUAUGGCUCAGUGCUGAAGUAAGUAGUGGUUUGGAAUGAUGUAGCACAUUCUGGGUGGUCCUUUGGGAGCAUUACAUCAGUUUAAAAAGAAAGACAGAUUUCCCUCCUCCUUACUCACCCCUCUCAUCUGUCCAGUAAGUUAGGGUGCUUUUAGCCUCUUCUUGGAGAAGUGGGCAGCAGAAAUGGCCACUACUGCAAAGAGCAAGGCCUUGGCAAGGCAAGUAUCUGGCAGCCUCUUCUGUGUUGUGUUUCUUUCCCUAAUCACAGGUGAUAGAACAGAGAUCCUGAGAUGGGAAUUUCAAGAGUAGCUACCUUGGGAGUAAUUGUGUUUUUCAAUGAGGCUGGUUAUACUUCAGUUGGAGCCCCCACCAAUUCCUACAUUGCUUUAUGCAGAAGAUGAUCGCUGCAAGGAAUUGGAAAUUGAGAGGAUGCCCGUCAAUUGGGGAAUGGCUG